rnacentral:lncRNA from 1 species
CUCAUAGCUACCCAGCAUAGUGUUCUCAAACAUCAGCCAAUUCACAUUAAUAGAACACUUUCAUGUGAUCCAGGGAGAAAGGGGAUCCACACACCAGCCAGGAGUGAAGGAGUGCAGAAGGUUAUAUAAAUCAGGGACAGAGUGGUGCAUUUUCAUUUUCAGUCCAGAGGAAAAUUGGUCUGAAUCUUCCAGUCCUCCUGGGUUAGAUCCUCUUUGGAUCAAGAAAAGACAGUCUCUCCCUGGAUGAGCAUGAAGUGUGGAUGAGGAACCACAGGGGAAAUUCCAGCACACAACAGUAAAGCAGCCUGAUGUGAGUACUUCUUCUCCCACCAGUUCUAUCAUAAAAUAAAAGAGAAUAAAUAGAGACA